rnacentral:rRNA from 1 species
UACAGAGGUCUCAAGCGUUGUUCGGAUUCAUUGGGCGUAAAGGGUGCGUAGGUGGCGUGGUAAGUCGGAUGUGAAAUCCCGGGGCUCAACCCCGGAACUGCAUUCGAUACUGCCUUGCUCGAGUACUGGAGAGGGAACUGGAAUUUACGGUGUAGCAGUGAAAUGCGUAGAGAUCGUAAGGAAGGCCAGUGGCGAAGGCGAGUUCCUGGACAGUUACUGACGCUGAGGCACGAAGGCCAGGGGAGCAAACGGG